UACGUAGGUGGCAAGCGUUAUCCGGAUUUACUGGGCGUAAAGAGCGCGCAGGUGGUUUCUUAAGUCUGAUGUGAAAGCCCACGGCUCAACCGUGGAGGGUCAUUGGAAACUGGGAGACUUGAGUGCAGAAGAGGAAAGUGGAAUUCCAGGUGUAGCGGUGAAAUGCGUAGAGAUAUGGAGGAACACCAGUGGCGAAGGCGACUUUCUGGUCUGUAACUGACACUGAGGCGCGAAAGCGUGGGGAGCAAACAGG
rnacentral:rRNA from 1 species